UGGGGGUCCUGUAGGAGAUCUUGCGGACCUGUGCAGUGGGCCGUCGGAAAGGCAAGCCUGACCCUUUCAAGAGAGGUCAGGCCUGGAGACCAAGGGCACUGAAAGAGAACACAGGGCUGAUUCCUUGACCUUUUGCAGUUCAUAGUCUAGUGAGGAAUACGAAUAAUUACAAAGCGGAUUAAAAACAAAAUCCCCAUCUGGUCAUCUGGUCAGCUCAAAAAUGUACUCAUUUCGUCUUCCGCCACUUUCACACGAAGGGGAAGGACAUCGUGUGUCUUUAAAAUGUUCUCCCAGGUGUCUUAUUCUGCAGAAACUUUAGGAAGAAAGACUCUUUUACAGCCCUCAGCACUGUUAUUGCGUGAACUGGCUCAGCAUGGCCGGCCCAGUGAAGGACGCCAGUGGUAGUAACCGGGGAAGAGGGAUCCCCUGGCUCUUCUUACCAAACUUCUUCGAUCGUUUGGAGUGGUUUGGCCAUCAGUUAGUCAGGAAGAGGCCAGAAGGACACGUGCUGAUAAUGCUUCAAGAAAGUUAAACUUUAGGAAAAACUCGACCGAAGUAAAAAUAGCUAUGUAGUCAGUGACCAAAGCUACUUGGAUGGUCCUGUUGAUUGCUCUUG
rnacentral:lncRNA from 1 species